CAAGCGGGCCGGAUGGCCGCGCCCCUAUCGGUCCGCUGGUAUGGGUGAGGAAAGUCCGAGCUCCACAGGGCAGGAUGCUGGGUAACUCCCAGGCGGGGCAACCCGAAGGAAAGUGCCACAGAGAACAGACCGCCAGCGGGCGAAACCACGGUUUCGUUGCGGGCAAGGGUGAAACGGCGGGGUAAGAGCCCACCGCGCUCCCGGAGACGGGAGCGGCACGGUAAACCCCAUCCGGAGCAAGGCCGAAUAGGAGCGGAGAGGCGGCCCGUCUCGUUAAAACGCUCGGGUAGGCUGCGCAGAGGCGCCGGGCAACCGGCGUCCCAGAUAAAUGGCCAUCCGUUCGGCGUUUAUUGCGCCGGACGACAGAACUCGGCUUACAGGCCCGCUUGCCUG
rnacentral:RNase_P_RNA from 1 species